GCUUAAUACAUGCAAGUCGAACGGUAAGGUCUCUUCGGAGAUACACGAGUGGCGCACGGGUGAGGAACACGUACACAAUCUACCUUAUACAGGAGGAUAGCCCCGGGAAACUGGGAUUAAUACUCCAUAGUCUUCUAAGAUCGCAUGGUCUAAGAAGUAAAGCUCCGGCGGUAUAAGAUGAGUGUGCGUCCCAUUAGAUUGUUGGUGAGGUAACGGCUCACCAAGUCGACGAUGGGUAGCUGGCGUGAGAGCGCGACCAGCCACACUGGCACUGAGGCACGGGCCAGACUCCUACGGGAGGCAGCAGUAGGGAAUAUUGGUCAAUGGGCGAAAGCCUGAACCAGCCAUGCCGCGUGGAGGAUGACUGCCCUCAGGGUUGUAAACUCCUUUUAUAUGGGAAGAAACCCCCGGAUUCACUCUGGGGCUGACGGUACCAUACGAAUAAGCACCGGCUAACUCCGUGCCAGCAGCCGCGGUAAUACGGAGGGGUGCAAGCGUUAUCCG
rnacentral:rRNA from 1 species